rnacentral:lncRNA from 1 species
AUGAGGACUGAAACAUUUUAUAUUCAAAUGAAAUAAUGAACAAAGAAUCAGAAACACAUUGUUUGCAUCAAAAUCCACCCGAAAAGAUUAAAAAAUGACCACUAAAACUAAGAUCAAUAGAACGAAACGGAGUAAUCAAGCAUUAUUGAGAAACCCCAAACAGAAUAAUAAAUUACCAACUCAAACGAUCAACGAGACAGAGGAGCAACAAUCACCAAAACAAAGGAAAGCACGAUAUUAACCGAAAUAGCAAAAUAAGAGAGAAAUAGACAUCAAAUGAACCUAAAAUUUAAUUGUUUGAUAAUUUGACAACGUAAAUGGGACAGAAUCGCGACCUGGAUCUCCACCAAAAUUAAAGAACGGGGUAUGGAUCGAAAAAUUGGAUGGAGACCUCGAACGGAUACUUCGACACGCGAUUGAAACAGACCUCACAUAUACUAGAAAUGAGCUGCCGGAAACAUGUAUAUAUGGUCAGACCUGCCAUCCCCGUCGCAGUAGUAAUAGAGAAACAGAGAAACGAGGGAGAAAGAAGAACAGUAGUCGUCACGGUGGUCAACUCUGGCGUACGGCGAAGAGAAUACAGAGGGCAAUGGAGCUAGCUAUUGUUAGGUCUCACAAUAGAUGAGAUAUUGAGAGUGUACACUGGAGGGGGGUGUGGCCGGUUUAGCUUAGGCGAGGUUAUCUCUUUCUAGGGUUCGGCAAUGUCUGGUUCUUGUUGGCGAGGUUAGCUCUUUCUAGGGUUCGGUGACGUCUGGUUCUUGUUGUCGGGUGGUGGCUGGAUGGUGUGAAAGAGGCGAAUGGUGGUUUUGUGUGAGUUCAGAAGCUAGCUUAGGGUACUAGAUUGUUAUGUUUUGGGUGUUGAAGAUGAAGGUGAGAUCAGGGAUGUUGUCUUUGAGAGGGUAACGGCUAGGGUGUUCUAGGGUUUUGGUUAGAGGUGGGGCAGCUGGUUUUUGUCUUAGGGUGAUUAGGGUUUUUUGUUGUUGUAGGGUGUGAAUAAGAUGAAGGGGAAUGACUGAGGGGUCUAUGUGUUAAGGAUCUCCUAGGUUAGUUCAGAAUGUGUAUAUGAAGAACAAGGUAGGGUUAGUGUGUAAGGGUUUUGGGUUAAUGAAAGGUGAGGGGUGG